GAUUUCGUUCUCUCUCUCCUCUCGAGAGUUCCUCUUUCCUCUCAUGAAACCCUAACCGAGGGUUUCAUCUGCCGCGCUGCGCCUCCGCCGUCGUCGCUGCUCGUACCAACGCCGCCGCUGCCGAGAGGAAGACGACCUCCUCUUCUUCCUGUUGUGAGGAAGAUGCCCGGAGCCGCUAUCAGAUGAGCAGCGAGGAAGCCCUUUUCCACCAGAUUGGGCUUUUUUGGGUCGCUGCGAGGACGAUGACGGGAACAUACUUGUAACUUCAAGGUUGGGAAUCCCUGCAGCAACCCAGAAGGGAGAGGAGGUUCCAGCCACACGAAUUCAAAGAUCAUCGAAUUCAUAGGAAUCGAACAACAUGGCAUGGCGACAAGUAAUACCAUAUUUAAAGAAACAAAAAAAAGGUGAAUGAUCAUAAACAACAUGCAUAGCAUAUGUUUGGUAUCAUGCUUGCCAGCAAACAAUAAAAUAGCAACAGAGGAAGCUCGGGACUGACCUCCCCACCAUUUCCGACGACUUGCCGUCUGUGACUUCGUGUGCUCAACCGACAAGGUGAGACAGAACAUUUCGGUUCUGUUUCUGUCAAUCUCCCUCUUCACCCGAAUUUCAGAUCGCCUGGAUUGCAGGACAAGCAAAGACCCUCCGGCUUCCAUUUUUUCGUGUCGAGAGUGCACGAAUGGAGACGAGCCUUCGCGAGUCGCGGCUGGUGAAAACGCUCAAACAACGAUCGAUUUAAAGAAAGAAAAGACAGAGUUUUCAGAGGCUCAAAUCGUAGGCUGAUUCUCGGAGGUAGUAUUCAUCAUAUGCAUCACGCGCACCACACACAACAUAAGGGUCGGAUUUCACUUACAAGAAACUCGACAAACAAGGCUCUGAUACCACUGUUGGAGUUACAGCAGCGGAACGUCAUCUGAGUUCAGCUCUUCGUUGCUCAGCAGAUUCUCACAUGACAUCUCGCUCAAGAAGAUGGCAUCUGAAACAGAUAGAGAAGAAGAGGAAGAAGAGAGAUAUGUUUACGGGUUUGCUUCUAUGAGGGUCUGAUUUAGGACGAUCAACAUGUAACCCUAGAUCAAAGAAUAGCUGGGUGUAUAUAGUGCCGCCUCAUAGGUUUUCCCUUACCCCAGCCGGCGGUUACAGCGAGUGAGAGAUUUUAGGAGAGAAUUAAAGCUCGUAACUGCAAGUGGCGAGAUGAAGGAUAGGGCUCAGGGCCACUAUCCAACAGUGUUGUGAUGGGUCUGCUAGUUGGAGACUAGAGCAGCUAAGGUGCUGGCCGAAGAUGACAAAUCAUUACUCCGGCUUUGCAUUAGAGAACAACAAAAGAGUUGCAGUUCCGAGGAUGGAGACAGCAGGGCUGUUGAUUAGGAGCAGCAAAGCUGCUGCGUUUCUUUUAGAUUAGGAACAGCAUGGCUGCUGUUGGGAGCUGCAAAUUUGCAGCAUUUCUUUUAGAUUUGGAGCAGCAUGACUGCUGUCUAAGCACAGAGAUAACAGGGAUGUAGGUUAAGAUCAACAAAACCGUUGUGGUUUUUUAUUAAGGAACAACAGGACUAAUGUUCCAAGCACGAAGACAGAAAAAAAAUGAAUUCAGCAAUUAGGAAAUUGCUAACCUGAGUAGAGGAGCAGCUGAGAUUCGCACGCUGGUUGUGGAUGGACUGCAAGUCUGCUAAGUGAACUGUAGUCGAAUAAGGAUGGACAGAGCUGGCUGACGAGUUGAGUUCUGUUGGAGAUUGACACAGCUGGUUGCUGGGUCUUCUUGAAGAUUGACGAAACUAAUGGUUGCUGUUGGUGGCGAACCGAGGGAGCUCGGAUUGAGGUGCAAUAGCAGCUGGGCUACAUUGGUGAAGAAGGCAGCAAUCUGGUCGAGCCAUUUGAACGAGUAACUGGCUGAAGUAAGGAAUCUGUGGCAAGCAGAUUGCAUCCAGCUUGGGGUGAGCUAAAGAAGACAAAGGUGUGGACGCUGGUUGGGAGGAAUCACCUGCUGGACCAAGCUGAAGAAGGUGGUUGUAACAGGAACAGCUGACAACGCACUCAGCUCAUGACACCAGUUGGAGUAGACCUUUGCAAGGAGGAGCUCCUGCUGCACAGGACUGAAGAGGGCGAGCUGUAGAAGUUGGCAGGUGGGAGUUGGAGCUACUACUAAAGACGUCUCAAGAAAGAGUCUCUCCUUGAACUGUAGAUGAAGAUGCAGUUUGAAGAUGCUGAAGAAGGAUUGGGAGCUUUGUAAAGGGAGGAUCAGAUCCUUCCAGCGUUCCUUUUCUUGAGGGCCCUACCACAUGUUCACAGGUACAAGUGAAAUGGACAAGGAUUUCGAGAAUUCGUCUUCACCACUAUGCUUUAUUAGGCCUUUGUGGCACACAGUAACAACGUAACAGAGCACACUCCCACCGGUCUCAAGUGUAUGUUGGGGAUUCUAUGUUUGAGGUGGUCUACAUUUAAAUUCUGUAAGAGGCCUCGGCCAUUCUAUGUAAAUAAAGUUGAGAUUUCUUUUCAAACCUCUUUGUUUACAUCGCUCUUGUGAUCAA